GAUGAACGCUAGCGGCAGGCAUAAUACAUGCAAGUCGAACUGAUGUAGCAAUACAUUAGUGGCGCACGGGUGCGUAACGCGUAUGCAACCUACCUUCAUCAGGGGGAUAACUACUCGAAAGGGUGGCUAACACCGCAUAAUACUACUGAAUGGCAUCAUUUGGUAUUUAAAUCUGAGGAGGAUGAAGAUGGGCAUGCGUCUGAUUAGCUAGUUGGUGUGGUAACGGCGCACCAAGGCGACGAUCAGUAGGGGAACUGAGAGGUUGGUCCACCACACUGGCACUGAGAUACGGGCCAGACUCGUACCGGAGGCAGGAGUAGGGAAUAUUGGUCAAUGGUGGGAACACUGAACCAGCCAUUCCGCGUGCAGGAAGAAGGGUCUCUGACUUGUAAACUGCUUUAGCAAGGGAAGAAAAAGCUCAUGCGUGAGAAAUUGACGGUACCUUGAGAAUAAGCACCGGCUAACUACGUGCCAGCCGCCGCAGUAAUAC
rnacentral:rRNA from 1 species